GACUUUGGACUCACGUAGGCAUAGGAGAACGAAACUUCUGUACAUUUUAAUCUGAAUAAUUCUUCAGGAUUUAAAAUUAAUUGGCUCUGGCUUGGUUGGACCGUACUCGGAUCUCGCCACCUCUGCGUUUCCCGAGUCACUGGCGAAGAGGUCCCAGUUCCUCUGGGAAUCGUCCUGUAUGCAACAUCUUCACAAGAGUGGCAGGCAGUUGAAUCUCUGGCCUUCGUGGGACCACUGGACAUCUGGCAGAGAACCAGGAAACCACGGUUCCCUUCUGUGAGUCCCUCAGCCGGAAAACUACAAGCUCCUCAUGCAGCUGCUGUCUACAGACCCCCUGGACUGCCUGGGGAAGUGAGUCGGAGCUCCUGCAGCAGAGGGGUGGAACAGCUACACGAAGAUCCGAAGGUGGCCAAAAAUAACAGCGCUUUCCAGAUGAGGGAGCCAGUUGUCCAGCACAGUGUCAUGGGACAGUGGGCCCUGGUGCCACAAUGCCCGGCAUCUCCACCAGAUACAGCUUUGAGAUCUUCAUGAUGAAGCUUGCUCCAAUCCAAGGGCUGUCAGGUGGGGUUUGCGGUUCAGCUGCUAACCUUUCUUUGAUCCAAAUCCUGUCUUCACUGGCUUCAAGAAUCCUGUCUUCACUGGCUUCAAAACUGGGAUGAAGGAGGCUCCUUAGUGGAGAGCAAAGCAAAGAGAAACUCAAAUUGGAUCCAUAUUAAAGAAGAGAAGGAUGGAUUUGUUUAGACAACACAAACCUAGGAAGGGUUUGAGAGGUGAAACAAACUGGGUUAUGGAUGAACGGGGGCAAUUGGAAUGUAGAAUUGAAGCAGUAAUUAACAUCUUGGUAAGUUACCCACCAUAAAACGCUUUAGAGCAAGAUAGAUUUUUGUUUUUCUUUUUUUUUUCUUCUAUUUCUUCUUUUCUAUUUUUUUUCUAUCUUCUCAUGUAGGACACCCUUUUUUUUUCUCUAAUUUUGAGAUCCUCAUGGAUGAAAACAAAACAUAUAUUGAAAUAUUGCAUAGGAAGAACACAAAUAGCUUUGAUAAUGCACCAACUGCAAGUGGAUUCAUUGGCUCUGUGUCAGCUGGUGCAUGUAGGAAGCUGAAGAAUAUUUUCUUGCCAACGUUUUGGCAAGACUUAUUUUUUCCCGGGGGGUGGGCGCAAGGGUGCAAUCCAAUAAUAAUUAAAAAAAAGACUGUAUAACCAUUGUGUAGGAAGAGCUUCAGCCACCCUACAGCCGAGAGCGAGUUGGUCUUCCACAAGUCACUGGGGGAGAUGAAGGGUACACUGUAGUCAGGUGGAGUCUCUUUGGGCCUAAAAUCACUAUAGGACACUUUUCCAAAGUACCCUGGUGUCUUCAGUGAUCCUGAGUGCUGGCACUUGCACUUUGUCACUACAUCCAUCCCAGAGCUGCCCCAGUGGCUGGAGGCCUCUUGAAUAUCAGCAUCAUGCUCUCCCCCAACCUAGGGGAUUCGUUUUCCUCCCCUGCAGUAGACAUUUGCGUGAAGGUUAAUCCACAGUUAGGAGUUGCUUAACUCAAGCCUCAGAAAGCGUACACUGCAUCUUUAAGAAAUAGUUUACUUGUGAAUCAGUAAACGUACUAGACAAAGCAGCCAUUACUUAUGCAUUCCUGCAUAUCCAGCAAGGUGAAAAUAAUAGAAUAAACAUCAUAUACUUCAUUAUGAUAUCGGUUUACACUUCCAGGGUACACAAAAAGAGGCCAUUUCAUCAAGCUAAUUGCCUGAAAGUAAAAGAGAGAGAACUUUAGCUAUUAGUCUAUUAUGGGGCUUUUUUCUUAAUCACAAAUAGGGGCCGUGUGUCCCUGGGGGGAUGUGUAUUCUAAUUUACAAUUGAACUACAGAUCAGAGCAAUCAAUCUUGGGCAGCACUUUUACAGUGUAAUUGCUGCAACAUAACAAAU
rnacentral:lncRNA from 10 species